GUCUACGGCCAUGCCACCCUGAAUGUGCCUGAUCCUGUCUGAUCUCAGAAGCUAAGCAGGAUCGGGCCUGGUUAGUUCUUGGAUGGGAGACCACCUAGGAAGACCAGAUGCUGUAGGCA
rnacentral:rRNA from 1 species